rnacentral:rRNA from 11 species
UUUGUAAAACUUGACUCUAAAGGUGCUUGAUCUUAUUUGAUCCUGAAAGCUAACCUAGGACAGCCCUGGUUACUACUUGGGUGGGAGACCACCAAGGAAUACCAAGUACUUUAGGAAG